AAACCCUGUUCACUAGCUAACGAGCUUAGCCAAAUCAUGCUUUUAUCUUCCAUCUUACUUAAUCUUAUCCAUCCACGCAUUUCCCAGAAUCCUUAGGAUGAGCUCUGAACUCUGCAAAGCAUACACCAUUGUUCUGAAGGGAAAUUCCCCAGACUCUACAAAGUAAGGGUGUUGCAGACCAGUCUGCAUAUACUUCAGUAUUUAAUAUCGGCGUUUGCCCUUUUCUGAUGGCCUCUCCAGCUCCCACCUCCAUCUGGCUGCAGCCCAUGUCUCAGCCAGUUAAUGUGGAAACACAAUGAUAAUGUUUCUCUGCAAAUGAAAAACCUACUCUGACUACAAUUCAGUUUGGGAUGAGGUGGGGCAGUCAGAUCUUUAAGUGAUGUUUCUCCCCUGAACCUCAGAUGCUUUUGGAAAGCUAAAUGAAUGAACAGAGAUCCAAGUCUUCUGCUAUGAUGGUGGAUUUGAAACAGGGUUUUGUGUAGUCCAGAUAAACCGGAAGCUAACAUUAGACAGGAGGGUGAUAUUGAAUCUCUGCUCCUCCUGCUGUGAUCACUGGCUUCUUUCUGUGUCACCACUCUAGUUUAGGAGGCUCUGGGAAACCAAAUCCAGGUUCUUUGGUGUGCUAGAACCACAGUCUAUCUACAAAGCCGUAAGCACCAACCUGUAGCCUCAGGACUCCUGAACUUUCUGUUGGGAUCACAGGAGACGCUGAGGAUUUGAACCCAGGGCCUUUGAUGUGCCAAGUCAGAACUCUCCCCACAGAGCUACAGCAGUUUAUGCAGGUCUGAGUUAUCUUGUCAAGACCUCUUUAUCCCAACAUUGAGCCAGAAGCCAGGCUAAACAACACUGUAAAGGCACCACUGAACAUGACAAGAGAACUUGACAGGUGAGAUGAUCUAAGUACAAAGUAAUUUAGUUAUUGUACUGAGUAUCAUGCAAAAAUGUGCAAAAGUGCUUACAAUAAACUUGAAUUCUUUGGAAAUUUCACAUUUUGCAUUUGGCUGUUGUAUCUCCUGGGUCUCUUCACUCAAUAUAACUGUGCAUUUGGAUCUAGCCAAUAUAAAAUUCAAAAACUAGCAAGGACCAAAAGUCACAAACAAAAUAACAAAAAAAGGCCUGCACUAGCUACUGUGUAUCAAGUCUUCUGUCUGCUUUGUCAUGUACUACCCAGUUACUAUGUGUCAAUGUUUUGUCUCCUUUGUCAUUUUGACUCCACAUUAAUAUUAUAACAGAGGGACAGGAUCACCACCAGUCAAGUGAAAAUCCUGAAACUACUAAGGGUUAAUGAAGAGUGCAAAGCCACACAAUAAAAAAUGCCAAGCAGUGUCUGGCUUGUUCCAUAGCACAUCCCUUCCCUGGCAUGGUCACCUGCUUCUGUCUGGGGCCAUAUUGGCUUACUCUCUCCACACUGUCCAGGGAGGCCCAUCAUGGACUAGAAGGCAGUCAAGGAUGCUGCAGCUGCUGUCUUAGUAUUCACAGGGGCAACUACAGUCUCUUAUCAGAUAGAGGAAAUGCUGGUAUGCUUUCUUUUUCGUUCUAAGCAGUAGGAAAUGCUGGUUGUGCACACAGCAAUCUGUUGAGUUAUAAAUAGUGGCAUUUCACUGUAUUUUUUUUAAAAAAUGCUCAAACACACACACCAAACCUUUUCAUUUCACUUUAGAUUAAAACAAAUAUUUUUGUUAGCAAGAGCAUUUAAAGACAGCAAAUUCAAGCACUAAUAUCAAAUUGAUGAGCAAAGUUUUGCGAUGCCCCCAAUCUUGUUCUAAACAGUUUGUCGGAAUUAUACAGAAAAUGGCUUAUUCUAAUUUCAUUAUCAAAAUAAAGGGUUACUGCAAAAACUACUCUGCAGAUUCACAAAAAAUAAAAAAUGAGGGGUGCUAAACAACAAAGAACUGUGAAAGGUUAUUUAUUUGUUAAAAUAUUAUUCUAGAGAUUUUUUCCCCAUAUAGUUCACUGUAAUUUAGUUUUAAACACUAAAAGCCUAUCAUAAACUAAGGUGCCUAAGCCAACAUAAGAAAUCUGUUUUAAAGGCUUUUAUUAAAUAUGAGUGUGGGUUUUUUUUUCUUUUAAGCAAUUAAAAUAUUCACUCUGGCCAAGAAAGCUUUCUUCCUAAUGAUAUUAAAACAAGAAAAGGGAUUCAUUGGCAUGAAUAUGAUAUUUAACUGUUCAAAUUAAAAGCAGACCUCAAAGCAGUCUUUCAACGUAUGUAUUUGAUAUAACUUCUGUGAACUAAAGCCAUUAAUGACUUGGGGAGAGGGGGAAGAGAGGAACGCCUCCCUGCCCUUUCCCACUCGUUUCCAACGAUUCUGAGCCAAUGUAUUUCCUGCUAAUCAUACAUAUUUUAUUUUCAACCUUAUGAGACACCUUAAUUUAAAAACGAAACUCACAACAGACGACUUAGCGCAACGCAAUGAAAGUCUCCUAGUGUGUGCCUUUGCUGCUUCAUGACAGCAUCCUCUCAGCACGGCGCUUUUUCAUCUCUUUCCUUUAAGGGCUUGUUUUAGACUAUAAUUAUUCUUGAGACUCCAGGUUAACACUGCCAUUAAAUCUUGUAGAGGUGGAUGAUAAAUUGGAGGCUAACAAGUUGUACUGAUCUUUUUCUCAGAAUUCGGCUUGUUUGAACUCAACUGCCGUGAAACAACUCAAUGAAAUAUCUCCAUUCCAGAACUUUCCCACAGUCGAAACGUGUGCGUGCAAUGCUGCCCCGUCAUCAGAUGUGAUUU
rnacentral:lncRNA from 1 species